rnacentral:lncRNA from 1 species
GCUGAGCCCUCAGCAGGACAGUCUAUCCACUUCCCUACGUUGGUUUAUUUUUCUUUGAAGCUUACAUCAUCUCCUGGCUUCAACAGAGGCCACGUUAUGUGACUCUGUAUGUGUCACUGAAAGCAGCUCCAGCAGGCAGGGACUUUGCUGGGCUCUAGGCUGUGUCCCCAGCCCUUGGCAUCACAAGUAGGUGCUCUGUCAACAUUUGCUGAGGGUAGGAACCAGUGAGUGGCUGGAAAGCUGUGCUCCUGAGGUUGGGGUCUGGGCUCGAGUCCCACUGGGUGACCCAGCACCCUGUUCCCUUUCUGUUCCCCGGCUUCCCCAGUUGAGCUGUGAGGCACUGAGGUCCCCAGGAAGGUUCUUGGGUGGGAAAGGCAGACCCCAGGCUGUGGAGGGGACAGGGCCUGAGGGGAGGAAGGGCCGGGCUUGCCCCUGGUCCUGGGGUUUGGAGACAGCCCAGCUCUGCUCCCACCCCCUGUGGCAUCUGCCUGCAGCCAGGGUCAUCUGGAGCCUGCCAGCUUGGCGCUGGGCUGGAGCAGGGCCACCUGACAGCUGGCAGGGACAGCUCUAGGGACAAGCCGGCCUGCUGGACGCCGGACCCUGCGUGAUGGAUGGGGCGAUCCCUUAACCCCACACCCAGCAGCCUCUCCGCUGGCUCACAAAGCUUUGCCUGGGCCUGAGUGGGAUUUUGCCCCCACAGGGUACCCCUUUAGUGGUGAGGACACCGAGGCUCAGAAGGACAGCUGCCUCACGGAGGGGACAUUGCUAGGAUGGG